ensembl:lncRNA
UUGUCAGCCAUCUAAACUGUAAUUCAGUGGGCAAUUUGAUUGACGCCAAAUCAGAAGGGGCGGGGCUUAGGACAUGCGUCGGUACGGAAGGCUAGGUGGUAGGAGGAAGCAGACGACACAAUGGCAGAAGAAACCCUCGGUGCAUUCGCCAUAGCGAAGAUCGCCCUAGCAGGCGCCUCGGCGGGGUUUGCCUUGGGGGACGCGGCGCUGAUGGCGGUGGACCCUGGCCUGAUCGCCAACGGCCCUCUGGGCAGCGCCACGGGCCUGGCCAUGGUGGCGGACAAGGUGGGCUCCACGGGCGUGGCCGGCGUGAUGGCGAGCCUCGUGUUCGCCGCCACCUUCUUCUCCCUGGGCUUCGGCUUCAACCUCGCCUCCCUGCUGAUGUCCAUCCUGGCGCGGUGCGGCGCGCCGCACGACGGCCGUCUGACGGACGGCGCGGCCGGAGCCUUCACCGCCGUGGGGGCGGUGGCGGCCGGCUUACUGGGCGGCCUGGCCCCGGCGUGGUGCCUCCUGGGGGCCGGGUGCGUGCUGGUGCUGUCGACGUACGUCCGGACGGACGUGAACGAGACGGCCACCGCCCUGCUGGUCAUCUACGUCACGCUGCACGCCAACGCCGUGCUGGGCCGCAUGGGCGUCCUGCUGGGGCUGUUCGCCACGGCCAUGAGCGUCUCGUUCAUCGUGGGCCUCCGCAAGUUCCUGAGGCAGCGCUGGGCGCCGCCGCCGCCGUCGGACCGCCGGCCCGGCGGCCUGCUGGGGAAGCUGUCGCUGAGCGUGGUGGUCGUGGCCUUUCUGGGCUUCCCCAUCGGCCUGGGCAUCGGCGGGAAACCCGUGGUUGAAGCGGGCGCCGAUGGAGCGGCGGCGGCGGCGGGCGGGGAGGCGGAGGUGGCGUUGCUGCUGGAGGCGGUGUUCUGGGUGGGGGUCCUAUUCGCCCCCCUGCUGGGCGCCUCCCUGGGCACCAUGGGCGCCGUGGGCCUGGGGACCGAGGGCGCGGCCCGCACGGCCAUGGCGGCGGCGGCGGCGUCCUGCCUCGCCCUGGGCGUGGUCCUCCCGGCCUGCACGGGGGCGGGGUCCCGCAGCUGCCUGGGGGGGAUCCUGGGGGCGGCGGCGGCCACGGGGCUGGCCCUGGCGGCGUCCCGCGUGGCGUUGAAGGCGGAGCACCGGGCCACCAACGUGGUCCACGGCGCCGUGGUCGCCGGGGUGAUGCUGGGCGUGGGGUACGCGUCGUGGUCGUCGGCGGCGCCGUGGUACCAGCUCCUGGCGUCGGCCCUCACCGUGUCCCUCGUCGCCACCAUGGCGUUCUUCUGCGGGGCCCCCAGGAGCCCCUUUAACCUGCAGUACGGGCCGGGCACGGGCGCAGACCUGAUGAGGCAGCUCGGCAAGGAGACGGUUUCCACGGGAGCGGCGCCGUUCGGGGCCGGGGCCCUCGGGGCCGCCGCGCUGGGCACGGCGGCCCUCGGGAGCCUGGGGGCGGUGGGCGUGGCCAUCGCCGUCGCGCUGGCGCUCGGAAAGACUCUGAAGAGCAUGGCGGAGCAGCCGGUGAAGGCUGCGGCGGCCACGCACGACGACUGAGGGACGGGCGGACGGUUGGGCUGUUGGGACUGGAACGAACCAAUAGGUCUGAGAAUGAGGGGGAUACCACGCACUUGUUAAACGCACGGUCUCACUCACACACACAAUAUUUGUGUUUGAUUGUUUGUUUGUCUUUGUGGCGAUGCAUGUACACGCUUUUAAGCAUUAAUUUGUUUUCAAAUAAAAUUAUUAUUGUUGUUAUUCUUCACGUGAGAAUAAACGAAAAAAAAGAAAAUCAUCUGUUAUUUUUGUGAAAAUCUAAAUCCAGGGAAGAAUUUAUAUAUUGCUGGAUACUAUUCGAAUCAAGGAUACCAUAAGCGAUAACGAUAAAAAAAUGCUUAAUCACUUAUUAAAUUGGUAACUUAUAAAAUAAAUAUGUAAGACUCAAAUAUUACGGUAGAAGGUAGAACCUCUAAAUUUCACUUUUCUAUUACAAUGCUUCUAGUUCCUCUCUAGACCCACUUGCCUUCUGGCAGUUUGGUUUCAACAUGGCAACAGUAUCAAAGGUCUUGUUAUUUGAGACAAGUUGGUGUGGGCGGG